GGGGCGGGGUCACGUGCUCCUGGUUGUCUCUGCCCCGCGGGGAGGCGGAAGCUCUUGGGAGCAGGCGGGACGCUGGUGGGGUGACGUGACGCGACGCCGGGGCAGCCCCAGACCCUGCGAGACCAGUGACAACGUGAGGGAGGUUUGCAACAGGGCGAACUCCCGAGCAGCCCCGGCGUGGUUUCCCAAAUCGUGUCAAAGCGGGAUUCAUUGGGCGUGAGCGGCUCAAAGCCCCUCCUGGGCCUGUUUUAAAUUGCGGCUUAGUAGCCCCGGGCCAGCCCUGAUUUGAACUCGUGCAUCAAUGACUGGACGUGCCUCUCUUGGGUCUCAGUGUGGACGACAUACAUCGGAGUGACUGCAGCCCUAGAGAUACAAUAGCUUCUGCAGUCCCUCCAUGAGCAGAGCUGAAUCAGGAUCCAAAAUGGACUGCUUGCCUUCAGGUUUGCUCCUUCAUAAAAGGGCCACCAAGACAUUCCACUAAACCAACAAAGAGUCUAUUCCAGAAGAAGGAACUGUGGGGGCGUCAGAGGCAGCAGAAUGUGCUCACUUUGCCCUGACGGGUACUGCUGAGGGAAAAAUCUGGCAACUGUGCACUACGUGAGCACACACCUACAGUGGAAUGGAUGUGUGCGCUACAUCUCUAAGAACAACAGUUACAGAAGAUGGGCUUACUCUGGAAAACACCCACAGGCAGCCUUUCAGAUACAACAGUGAAGAAGCCAGACAGUGCUGAUGGGUCAUCAACAAAGACAGUGGACUGUGGAAUAACUUAACCUUCCUGUGAAUGUUUUGGCCAGUCUGUAAAUAAUAACUGCUAUAACACUGCAAGGGCAUGUGAUGAGACCACAUGUCUCUGGACGCCAGCUUGGGAUGUCUGUAUUUUUACACAAACUGAUCUGGGAACCAAGUUUUGAGACUAAGGCUUCCCAUCAUAUGCUAAAGCUACAUAAGGCAGGGAGUGACAUCAUCUGUUGUUGUUCACUCCCUACACAAGAAGACUCCUGGAAACACCUGAGAAACAAAGACUGAACUGGUGGAAGUGCUGGACCCAGGCUAAAGAGAUUUCUAACCUGUGAAUGAAACACCUGGGGAUUCCAGCUUGUAGCUUGUGCCUUAAGAAUCUGCAGCCUGCUCGUAUCAUCAAUCAGGGUGAGAGAUUGUUAAUUCAAAUCCUAGCUUUCUAAUAUGUUAAGCUUAGUUUGCAUUUUUGUUUAUUUCUGCUUUGAUGUGUUUGUUAUCACUUAUAAUCAUUUAAAAUCUAUCUUUUGUAGUUAAUAUGUUUAUUUUAUGUUUUAAUCUAAACAAGUGAGUUUGGAGUGAAGUGUGUGGGAAUCAUAGGGAUUGUUUCUGUUUUCAGUUUCUAAAGAGUUGUUAGGAAGAAAUCUCAGAAAAAUGUUAAGAUUUUUUUUUGUUAAUUAAAAAUUAAUAUUUUAAGGGCUGAAUAUAUUAAAGGUUUUUCUCCCUUCAUAUAAAAGUAAUUCUCCACUAGAUGCACAAGCACAACCUCUCAUGACCGUUAAUGAAAGUUUCAAGUGCCCAUAAAUGGGAAAACAAACACAUCAUCAUCACAGGAAAAAGUUUACAGCAAACCCUGGCCCAAAAAAGACAAUUCAACCUUUAAUCACACAGGUGGAAGUUAAAGGCGGUGUACAAAAGAUACUGAAUUUGUGCAUGAAAAAGUUAAGUUAUUGUGCAUGUGUAUAGAUACCGGCAUGGUCAAACAGAUGUUUGCAUGCAUAGUUACCUUAUUUGCAUAAACUAAUGUGGUAAAUUCAUGCAAUUUUGUAGAUGUGUGCACGUUUUUUUAAUAUGCUCACAUUCACCUAUUAAGAAUUUGGCUCAGAAUCAGCAACUUAUCAAUUUACUCCAUCACUCCUUACACAGGUCAGUCUCUUGAGAAGUACAGAAUAUUCAAACACUCCACAGAAAAACAAUAGAUACUUUAGUGUGUUUUCAGCAUUUUAUUUGAGUCACUUAAGGUAAUAAAAAUGAUAUUCAGAGCACUGGGGUAUAUACUUGCAAUAACCAAUUUUUGUGGUUUUCACAUUUCAAAACUUUGUGUUGGUAUUUAAUUACAUACUCUAGUGAAUAGGAAUUAAAUAGUUUGAGAGUCCUCUAGUGGCCCUCACUGUCUUUUAUGUUCCAAAACCCAUUAGAACUCCGCCAAAACAGCAUGUAUGUAUAUAGCUAGACCUUGCAUGUUAUAUAUAGUUAUUUGGACACCAUCACAUAAAGAGAUAAAAGACAACAUCUGCUAUGGGCAUUUAUUGCCUUAUAUGCAGGCUUAAAUUCUCUUAGAGUAUUUCCCGGAGUCCCCCCAUCCCCCUACCCCACGAUGCUAUAAAAACUCCAGGGCCCAGCACAGGGGGUGGGGGCGAACUCAGGGCUUCUUCCCUGCAACAGGGUGGUGGGGCUCAGGGCUUCAGCCCUGCGGGACAUGCCAGCGCUUGGGGCUUCAGCCCCACAAAUAUGAAAAUAUUUACCAGAGCUUUGCUACGGACAGUUCUGACUAAAUUUAAGCCCUGCUUAUAUGCAAAUCCACUAUGAACCUUAUCUCAAGUAACAGCAUAAAGAGUCACUUCAAUUAAGUUGCCAUAGUACUGCAACCCUCAGGAGCAACUGCUGCCAGUGGAGGGGAGCAGACUAUAAAGCUGGUUUCCCAACAGCAUAACACACCCAAGCAACAGAUCAGCAAAGACAAGGAUCCAGAACCUCUAUGUGAGGGAUGUGAGUGAACAAAAAGUCAUUUUACAUUAGGGAGAAAGUGCCAAUGACAGUGGGUGAGGUGAGGUUUGGAUAUGCUUCAGAUAACCCGCCAGACUUUUUGGAUUCCAGCUACAGAGACCUGGACAACGCUGCCAAGAAGAGUGGACAGAGCCUCAAAGCUCCUAGAGCCAAAACAGAGCCACAAGUCCUCCAUAUAAAUAGCCCUGUGUUUCCAGUAGGUCUUGGAGGAUCAUGGACUUAGUGGCUGCAUUCCAUUCAUGAAAAUGGCAAACCUUAUCUCUCUGCCCAAUGAAAGAAAUGAAGAGGAAACACCUUGAGGGAUCUGUAAACUGGUACUCCCUCACAGGGACUCGAUUGGCACAUCUAAAUUAUAACCAUCCGUUCUGAAAUAAUCUCUUCAUAGGUCAGUCAGCAUUGCCACUGAUCAGCCAUUAACUGCACUAGCAGAUGUUUUACUGUAAGACUGGAAGUUAGAACCACCUAACAGAGCCCCACACUCCCCACGUACACAAUGGUGGGUCAGCCAUAUGCCUAUAUGCUUCCAAUAAAGCCCUUCAGGAGAACAUUUGCCAGUGAGCACUUGAUCAUCCCUCCUGCUUCUCAUAAUGGCUAGAAAUUCAUACCUUUAUCCACAUAUUUAUUAGUUAUGACCUUCUGCCAUAAGAGCAAUUUGCUUAGUGCACUCGAUGUGAUUUUGUAUGAUUUGCCAAGCUAAUUUUUAUCUCCAUGUCUAGCAUUUGAAAAUCUUUUGCCUCCGUAUUAAUUUAACAUUUUUAUCUUUUACCCAUUAAAUGCUGCUCAUUGUGACCUUUAAAUUCACUUACAAAGGAUAAUCCAUUGGUUAAUCUGAACCAAUUGGCCUCAGUUACACAUUCAGUGACAAACCAUUAUUUCUGUCCCAGUUCUUUAAUUGGCCGGAAUGCUCUUUCCUAUCAGAUAUAUUACCUGUCAGAGUUGCCUGCUAGCCUUUGCAUACUUCCUGGAUACUGUCCAGGCCAUUAAAGCAACAUCUUCUGUUCAAGUCUGGAAUAUUUAUCCUGAGCCAAAAUCCUAGCUUUCUCCCUGCUCUUAAUUAAAGCCUUAAGAAUGUUGGCUGGGUCAUUCUACA